CUUGAUUCUGAGGAUGUCGGACCACUGUUCUUUACGCAGCACCACAUCCCAAAUAAAAGCAUAGAGAAGUCCUCCAUUCCUGGGGGGUUGGGGACUUUUCCUUUCUACAGCCCUUGUUCGGUGGCUCCAUAUUACAAAUGAUCAGUUUCCCAGGCCUCUCUGAAGGCCCUCCGCUCAGACAUCCUUACCCACUGGAGUAGCGGCCCCACUGGUAGAAUCAGACACAAAA
rnacentral:lncRNA from 1 species